rnacentral:tRNA from 1 species
GCGGCUUUAGCUCAUUUGGGAGAGCGCCAGACUGAAGAUCCGAGUAAUUGAGGGCAAAUCUGGAGGCACUGUGUUCGAUCCACAGAAGCCGCA